rnacentral:lncRNA from 1 species
AUUGCUCUAAUGAUUUGUGAUGGUAAGAUUGUUUUGAUGUACACAACAAUGUGAAUAUGUCUAACGCUACUGAAGUGUACACUUAAAAAUAGUUACGAUAGUAAAUUUUAUGUUUUGUUUUUUACUACAAUUUAAAAACAUUAAAAAAAGACUUUAUUUAUUUAUUUUAAAAAGGGAGAGAGAGCAUAUGUGAGUGGGGAUAGGGGGAGAGGGAGAGGGAAAGAUUCUCAGGCAGACUCACGUUGACCGUGGAGCCUAUGUGGAGCUGGAUUCCAGGUCCCUGGGAUCAUGAAAUCAAGAGUCCGAUGCUUAAUGGACACUGAGCUCCCCAGUUGCCUUUAUUUUUUUAUUUUAUUUUAUUUUUUUUCCCAGUUGCCUUUAAAAAACAUCUUUAGGGGUGUGAUCCUGGGGUCCUGGGAUCCAGUUGCACAUCACGGUCCCCACAGGGAGCUUGCUUCUCCCUUUGCCUAUGUCUCUGCCUCUCUCUCUGUUUCUCUCAUGAAUAGAUAAAUAAAAUCUUUUUUAAAAAUUUAAAAACACUUUUUUUUUAAGAUUAUUUAUUCGUGAGAGACACACAGAGAGAGGCAGAGACACAGGCAGAGAGAGAAGCAGGCACCAUGCAGGGACCCCAAAGUGGGACUUGAUCCCAGGACCCUGUGAUUGUGCCCUGGGCCGAAGGCAGGUGCUCAGCAGCUGACCCACCCAGGCAUCCCUAAAAACUUUUAAAUGAACAACAAAAAAGGAAUGAAGUGGAUGAAUCUUGAAAAAGUUAACUGAAAGAAGCCAGACACAAAAGGACAAUGUUGUAUGAUUCCAUUUAUAGGAAACAGCCAGAAGAGGCAAAUCCAUUGAGACAGAGGCUAGAUUAGUGGUUGCCAGGGGUUGGGCUGUAUGAGAGGAGGACUGCCAAUGGCCAUGGGGUUCUUUUUGAGGUGAUAAAAAUGAUCUGGAAGUAGUGGUGGUUGCACAACCUUGUGAAUACACAAAAACGCACUGUAUUGUAUACUUGAUGCAAAAUGGUUUUUAAAAAAGCAAGUGUCAGGUUGCUUGGGUGGCUCAGUGGGUUAAGCACCUGCCUUCUGCUCAGGUCAUGAUCCUAGGGUCCUGGGAUUGAGUCCCGAGUCAGGCUCCCUGCUCAUCGGGGAGCCUACUUUUGCUUCUGCCCCUCCCCAGCUGGUGCAUGCUCUCUCAAAUAAAUAAAUAAAAUCUUAAAAAAAAUCUUAAAAAUAUAUAGUGUAUGAUCUUAUCUAGAUUUUUUAAAAAGCUGUAUCUUUAUAUGUCAUCUAUAAUGCAUAUAUAUGUAAAUACGUAACUGGAAGGAUAAACAACAAAUGGCUAACCGUGGUUUCCCUUUAGAGAAGAAUACAGAAUUUAAAAUUUGUUACAGAGACUUUCACUUCUCACAAUUGGACUCAAUUGUUUUAAAUUAUAUUUUUGCUUCUGACUUGCUAGCACAAAGGGAUUUAAAAGCUAGGAAACUAAAGUAAGCCAAAUAAUUAGUAUGACAACAUUGAUUAUUUGAGAUACAAAAUGUAGAGAAAUAAUAAUUUUUAUCAUUAUAAAAGACUGUAAGUUAUGAGCCAUAAUAUAAUUUUAUAAUACAAUUAUUGCAUUAUAUUUUAUUGAUAUGUUUUCAUAUGAUUAAAAUACAAUAAAUUAAAAUAAAAUAAUAUAUACAUAUUAUUCGUGUCCCAGAUGGCAUGAUGAUAUUUAUGCAGCUCUCAUCUUUGCCAGGUUCCAUGGUAACAGGUAAGGGCAAUAGUUAUCAUUCUCAUUUUAAAAAUUUUUUUCUAAGAUUUUAUUUAUUUAUUCAUAAGAGACACAGAGAGAGGGAGAGUCAGAGACAUAGGCAGAGGGAGAAGCAGGCUACCUGCAGGGAGCUGGACUCGGAACUUGAUCCUGGGACUCUGGAAUCAUGACCUGAGCCAAAGGCAGAUGCUCAACCCCUGAGCCACCCAGGUGCCCCUCAUUCCCAUUUUAUAAAGGAGGAAACUGAGGCUCAGAUCUUGUAGCUUAGAAGCAAUGGGCUAGACAUAAAUCCAAGUGUGUUUGAUACCAGAAUCCAGGGCCUUAUCCGUAGUCGGUUAGAAAA